rnacentral:lncRNA from 1 species
GCUGUGGUUUUAAAAAAGCAGUUCGACCUGAAUUGGAAUCACGGCCCUACCACUAAUGAGUUAUUCUUUUUACUUACUCAGUUAGGCAGGCAGGUUUUUAAGUCAGAUCUUCUGGGAUCAAAUUCCGGCUAUACUACAUGUUAGCAAGUUAAUCACUCAGCCUCUUUCCUCAUUUUUAAAAAGGGGACAAUAGUACCUACAGCCUAGGUUUCUGAAGAAUUCAUUUAAGACAUGCACAGCAUCUGGUCCUUACUGAAGUCACAAUACAUGUCCCGUCACCUUUCCGAGUCUGUUUUUUUUUUUAACCUAAAAAUGAGGGGUUCCCCCCUAGAUUAUCCCCAAAGUCCCAAUCCUGGUUUACCAGUCUCUAAGUCUACAUGAUCAAGGAUGGGUUUCUUAGGCGGAGGUUGGGGUGGGAGGAUGUACAGAAAAUAGUCUAACCUGAAAAUCAGUGAAAGAAAGUUCAUCAGAAAGGAGGCAGAUAAAUCAGCAGACACUGUGCUCAGGGAGUUUUGUCAGAGAAUGUGUCCGAGGAGUCAAACAAAGCGUCAAGCAUCCUGUAAAGGAAGAGGUAAGAAGAGAUGCUCCUUUCUCAAAACUGGAGGGUGGGUGGGUGAUCUUGCAGUACUCAGAGGUCGAAUCUGUUGAUCUGCUCCCACCCUACCUAAUUUUCUUCCCCAUUGUUUCCUAUUUCUCAUUGCCGACUGCCAUGUCUCCCCUUUCCUUUACCACCCCGUGCACGGUGCUUUCCCUCGCUCACCUGGCUCUGGCCGACUGUGGCUCGCCGACCCACGCAGGACUGAAGGCUGAGAGGCUAGCGGUGCAGAGGCCCCGCCUAAGGCGCGUGGACGUCCCGAUUCUCCCGCCCCCUGAAGGCGGAGCCCGAAGGCGAUUGGUCCCCACGGUGCGCCUACCAGGACUGGCAGCUCUUCCACCCAACCGGGAUGUGCCCAGCUCUUCUCCUGUCUAGUGCCUGCCAAGCUCCGGACGAGCUCUCUGUGCCUCUUCCAACCUUCCAGUCUGUUCUGCAGGCGGUGGUUUUAAAGUCGCCCCGUUUCCUUGAGAGGAGAACUGAGCCCAGAUUUGCUUUAAAUAGGAGAUUGAGUCAAAAUUAGAAAGCACCCCCCUUCCUCUCCCAAUUUUCUCUUUGUUCAUGUAUGUUGCCCCAACUUUUAAAGAAGUCCAACAAUCUGAUUUGUAGCCUAGAACUGAGCUCCAUGAUAAUAGUAGCUAACACUCCAAACUUACUGUGCCACAGCCUCUAUUAAUAGACGCUUUGUAAGAAUUAGCUUAUUUCUCUGUAAGGUAGAUACUUAUUAUCUCCGUUUACAGAGAGGAAACUAAGUUACACAG